AUCGCUUCUCGGCCUUUUGGCUAAGAUCAAGUGUAGUAUCUGUUCUUAUCAGUUUAAUAAACCCUGCUUUCACAGUCACAUUCCAUUGUAUGUUCUAACUCUUU
rnacentral:snRNA from 1 species